rnacentral:rRNA from 1 species
AGGGAAUAUUGCGCAAUGGGGGAAACCCUGACGCAGCGACGCCGCGUGAAGGAAGAAGGUCUUCGGAUCGUAAACUUCUUUGACUGGGGAAGACAAAGGACGGUACCCAGAGAACAAGCCACGGCUAACUACGUGCCAGCAGCCGCGGUAAUACGUAGGUGGCGAGCGUUGUCCGGAAUUACUGGGUGUAAAGGGCGUGUAGGCGGGAGAGCAAGUCAGUUGUGAAAGCCCGAGGCUCAACUUCGGGAUUGCAUCUGAAACUGCCCUUCUUGAGUACUGGAGAGGGAAGCGGAAUUCCUAGUGUAGCGGUGAAAUGCGUAGAGAUUAGGAGGAACACCAGUGGCGAAGGCGGCUUCCUGGACAGAGACUGACGCUGAGGCGCGAAAGCGUGGGGAGCGAAC